rnacentral:lncRNA from 1 species
CUCAAACCCAACGCAAUCAAGAAUAGGAAUCGCAGAAGCGUAUACACUUGUUACCAAGCUCUGUAGUCAAGCUUCCUUCGCCAAAGAUCCGCAGCAUGUCAUACACUCCGUAUAAGGGCAGGACGACCAAGGAGCUCCAGUACUACCUCAGCGUCUGUCGCAAAAACGGCUACCACUGCGCAUUUCCGUAUGGCUGGUCCCUCCCAAACCCGAGAGCCUACAUAUACGAAACUUUGAGACACCCAGUUUAUCAUGGUUGGACAUUGCGGGUGUUCUUUUACGCAGUAAAUAAAAACACCGGAAAAAGUCAAGUGCAAAUUUCGUUAGAUGCGAUACAACAGGCGUCAAAUUUUAUCGCCGUAGAAGCAACACCAGGUGGCUCCAUCCACACCCAUGGACAAGCUCAAGGCUCGCAGUUUUCCGAGAGAUUUUUACGUACCAUUAACCAAGGCGAACAUUUCUCUAUAGGCAUUCAGGUCGACACUAGCAUUUCUAAUUUCAGGGGCGUUUUCAACGAGCACACCGAGGAC